UUGUCUCAAAGAUUAAGCCAUGCAUGUCUCAGUACAAGCCAAAUUAAGGUGAAACCGCGAAAGGCUCAUUAAAUCAGUUAUGGUUCCUAAGAUCGUACCCACAAUUACUUGGAUAACUGUGGUAAUUCUAGAGCUAAUACAUGCAAACAGAGCUCCGACCGGAGACGGAAGGAGUGCUUUUAUUAGAUCAAAACCAAUCGGUGGCGGGUUCGCUCGUUAUCGUACAACUUGGUGACUCUGAAUAACUUUACGCUGAUCGCACGGUCAUCGCACCGGCGACGCAUCUUUCAAAUGUCUGCCUUAUCAACUGUCGAUGGUAGGUUCUGCGCCUACCAUGGUUGUAACGGGUAACGGGGAAUCAGGGUUCGAUUCCGGAGAGGGAGCCUGAGAAACGGCUACCACAUCCAAGGAAGGCAGCAGGCGCGCAAAUUACCCACUCCCGGCACGGGGAGGUAGUGACGAAAAAUAACGAUACGGGACUCAUCCGAGGCCCCGUAAUCGGAAUGAGUACACUCUAAACCCUUUAACGAGGAUCAAUUGGAGGGCAAGUCUGGUGCCAGCAGCCGCGG
rnacentral:rRNA from 1 species